UCCACGCCGUAAACGAUGAGCACUAGGUGUGGGGGAGAUUAUCUCCUCCGUGCCGCAGCUAACGCAUUAAGUGCUCCGCCUGGGGAGUACGGCCGCAAGGUUAAAACUCAAAGGAAUUGACGGGGGCCCGCACAAGCGGUGGAGCAUGUGGUUUAAUUCGAUGCUACGCGAAGAAUCUUACCUGGGCUUGACAUCCCCGGAACCCUGCCGAAAGGCGGGGGUGCCCCUUCGGG
rnacentral:rRNA from 1 species